AGCAGCCGCGGUAAUUCCAGCUCCAAUAGCGUAUAUUAAAGUUGUUGCAGUUAAAAAGCUCGUAGUUGAAUUUCGAGACCGGUUUACUGGUCGUGCUUUUGUACGUACUGGUAUUAUUGGUUUCUCCUUUCUGACGAAUCAUAAUGCCAUUAAUUUGGUGUUUUGGGGAAUCAGGACUGUUACUUUGAAAAAAUUAGAGUGUUUAAAGCAGGCUCACGCUUGAAUACAUUAGCAUGGAAUAACGAAAUAGGACGUUUGAUUUUAUUUUGUUGGUUUCUAGGAUCGACGUAAUGAUUAAUAGGGAUAGUUGGGGGCAUUAGUAUUCAAUUGUCAGAGGUGAAAUUCUUGGAUUUAUUGAAGACUAACUACUGCGAAAGCAUUUGCCGAGGAUGUUUUCAUUAAUCAAGAACGAAAGUUAGGGGAUCGAAGACGAUCAGAUACCGUCGUAGUCUUAACCAUAAACUAUGCCGACUAGGGAUCGGAUGAUGUUAAUUUUUUAAUGACUCAUUCGGCGCCUUAC
rnacentral:misc_RNA from 1 species